UACAGAGGGUGCGAGCGUUGCUCCGGAAUCACUGGGCGUAAAGGGCGCGUAGGUGGUGGCUUAAGCGUGCGGUGAAAGCUCGGGGCUCAACCCCGAGUCGGCCGUGCGAACUGGGCUCACUGGAGCAUAGUAGAGGCAGGUGGAAUUCCGGGUGUAGCGGUGGAAUGCGUAGAGAUCCGGAAGAACACCGGUGGCGAAGGCGGCCUGCUGGGCUAUGGCUGACACUGAGGCGCGACAGCGUGGGGAGCAAACAGG
rnacentral:rRNA from 1 species